rnacentral:rRNA from 1 species
UGAGGAAUAUUGGUCAAUGGGCGCAAGCCUGAACCAGCCAUCCCGCGUACAGGAAGACAACACUAUGCGUUAUAAACUGCUUUUCCAGGGAGAGAAACUUGCGCACGUGUUGCGCAAUUGACGGUACCCUGGGAAUAAGCAUCGGCUAACUCCGUGCCAGCAGCCGCGGUAAUACGGAGGAUGCGAGCGUUAUCCGGAUUCAUUGGGUUUAAAGGGUGCGUAGGCGGACUAUUAAGUCAGUGGUGAAAUCCUGCAGCUUAACUGCAGAACUGCCAUUGAUACUGAUAGCCUUGAGUUUGGUUAAGGUAGGCGGAAUGUGUAAUGUAGCGGUGAAAUGCUUAGAUAUUACACAGAACACCAAUUGCGUAGGCAGCUUACUGAGCCGACACUGACGCUGAGGCACGAAAGCGUGGGGAUCGAACA